GGGAGAGUGGCCGAGUGGUC
rnacentral:siRNA from 1 species